rnacentral:rRNA from 1 species
AUUGAACGCUGGCGGCAUGCCUUACACAUGCAAGUCGAACGGUAACAGGUCUUCGGAUGCUGACGAGUGGCGAACGGGUGAGUAAUACAUCGGAACGUGCCCGAUCGUGGGGGAUAACGAAGCGAAAGCUUUGCUAAUACCGCAUAAGAUCUACGGAUGACAGCAGGGGACCGCAAGGCCUUGCGCGACCGGAGCGGCCGAUGGCAGAUUAGGUAGUUGGUGGGAUAAAAGCUUACCAAGCCGACGAUCUGUAGCUGGUCUGAGAGGACGACCAGCCACACUGGGACUGAGACACGGCCCAGACUCCUACGGGAGGCAGCAGUGGGGAAUUUUGGACAAUGGGCGAAAGCCUGAUCCAGCCAUGCCGCGUGCAGGAUGAAGGCCUUCGGGUUGUAAACUGCUUUUGUACGGAACGAAAAGACUCUGGUUAAUACCUGGGGUCCAUGACGGUACCGUAAGAAUAAGCACCGGCUAACUACGUG